AGUGAACGCUGGCGGUAUGCCUAACACAUGCAAGUCGAACGGCAGCACAGUAAGAGCUUGCUCUUACGGGUGGCGAGUGGCGGACGGGUGAGGAAUACAUCGGAAUCUACUUUUUCGUGGGUGAUAACGUAGGGAAACUUACGCUAAUACCGCAUACGACCUACGGGUGAAAGCAGGGGAUCUUCGGACCUUGCGCGAUUGAAUGAGCCGAUGUCGGAUUAGCUAGUUGGCGGGGUAAAGGCCCACCAAGGCGACGAUCCGUAGCUGGUCUGAGAGGAUGAUCAGCCACACUGGAACUGAGACACGGUCCAGACUCCUACGGGAGGCAGCAGUGGGGAAUAUUGGACAAUGGGCGCAAGCCUGAUCCAGCCAUACCGCGUGGGUGAAGAAGGCCUUCGGGUUGUAAAGCCCUUUUGUUGGGAAAGAAAAGCAGCAGGUUAAUACCCCGCUGUUCUGACGGUACCCAAAGAAUAAGCACCGGCUAACUUCGUG
rnacentral:rRNA from 1 species